CGACGUGCGUGGAAAAGGUAUAACUUUCGUUCGGCAUGGUACCCACCGUUAUCGGGCCAAUCGUUAAUUGCGAACGAUAAUCAAAUCGCACUCGCUGCUUAGUUUCUAGGCAAGCGCGGUUCGGGGGGCACCGGGCAACAGAAGCCCCCCACU
rnacentral:tmRNA from 1 species